AGAACGGUUCUUUUGAGAACCAGCAAUUAUUUUACAAAAAAUCGUGU
rfam:Oryctes borbonicus contig3295, whole genome shotgun sequence.